UUCUCUCCGCCAGUCCGCCUCUUUCACUUUUUUUUCUCUCACCAGCUUAUCAAACGAUUCAAACCCACUUCUUCCUCUGCAGAUCUACACAUGGUAAAUCAAUUUUCCACUUUGAUUUGUUAAUAGGGUUUUUCUCUUCUUUUCUUUCCCUCGUCUGUUUUCUCUCCUUCAGUCGCCUCUGUAGAACUUAAGCAAAUCUAGGGUUUUAGUUGUGAAGAAGAAGAAGAAUAUGUGUUACGCUAAUAUCUGGAAUUCUCAUCCUACGAAUUCCGAACCUGGAUAUCGUAGUUGUGAAUGCUGGUAAUGAGUCUAGGGUCUUGAGGUGAUAUGAAUCAUAUGAGUAGCGUUUUAAUUCUUCUCAAAAUCUGUGCUAAUAAAUCUUGUUCAGGUAACUAUGUUUGAGUUUCAUUCAACGUUCAGGUGAUAAUUGAACAGAAGAGUAGUUUGUUACAAAUGAAAGAUCUGAGGAUGGUGGUUGGUCUAAUUGUGUAUGGAGUAGAUUUACUACUAGCUUUAAAUUUCUUGGUCAUGAUGUAGAAGAAGAAAAGGUUACGGGGUUUUGGAUUUUGUUUACAAUCAGAGACUCAAAACAAAAUUCCAGGGAGGACAAGGAAAAUUCAGUUGAAGAAGCUGUAUUCUGCCAUCGAAGGUUAUCGCAAAGUGUUAAAAGAGGAAUUUCUGUUCUUCACCACCAAAAUUUAAAUUGUGGCAAGUGGUUCUCACCGAAUUGAUGUGAUGGUUCUUAUCAAUUUGCAAAUUUGGGUAUCAAACUAGAUGCAUGGAUGAUUAGGUUAGUGUUAGAGAUUCCCAUGGUAAGGAAGUCUUACUAAGAGCAGUGUCAUGAGAAUUGUGAUUGUUAAGAGUUAAGGAUUGCAUGAAAUUGUUGCCUUGUUGGGUUUGCAUCUGGACUCGAAUUGGCAAGAGAACAAGUUCUGAGGGGAGCUCAAUACCAAAAAGAGAAACACACCUUUAAACACCACGGAAACUGCACAUCCUAUGUGAUGAAAAUCCUGAAAGAAGAUGACUCUUAUUCCUCUUUGAUACUAGCAACUUGGGGCAAGAUAUCUGAUGUUAUAAGCAAAACCAUGAUAUGUUUGACUGUACAGUUAAGUUGAAUUUUUUCUGAUCGACGUCCUUUGAGAAUUGUUAAUCAAUUGUUAUAAUCGCUGGGCUUAAAGUACGGUUGUGUUGAUUAUUGUUAUGGGUUGGGUGUAAUUUUGAAAGGGGAUUUAUUUGCUUAGAUUAAAUGUUCCGUGUAGAAAAAAGAGCAUUCUUAUCAUGUUAGUUGGAUGAAAUUUGUGUUUCAGACAACUACAUUAUAUGCUACUGCCUUUAAAAUUACAUAUGGAUUAGUGGUUGGUGUAUACAACAUCGGCAUAUGGUGAUUAGAUCAGUUGUGUACAUGUGGUUCUUGGGAUUAAUUGUAGUUCUUUUGGCUCAAUGAUUAUAUGCCUUGUCGAGUUCUCGAAAAAAAUUUGUUAAUUUGAUGUAGUGUGAGUUAUGGACUAGUACUGAGAAAACUACUACCAAGACUAACAAGACUGCCACGUUUCUUUUGAGAAAACUAACAAGACUGCGAUCUCAUUAUUGUUACAGUGGGUGUUUUCUCAAGUAUUUUAGAUGAUGUGUUCUAAUACUAAGAUCGCCAGUAGGUUCAGGAGCUCCUAGGGUAUACUGAUGUGUUCUCAAGUAUUGUGAAAGGUCUGACUUCGGGGGUAUACGGGGUCUUCUUAUAGAACUCCUCUGAUGUCUAGUUUCCAAUACGUCGCUGGUCUGACCUUGUAGAAUAUAUUUGGCCUUAAUGCUCGAUAUGUGUAAGUGGAAAUAUCUUGGUUUAAACUUGCUUUUCAUUAGGGCCUCAUGAUGUUAACAAUUCCUAUUACUUUUGGUAGUUUUUAUGAUAUAGUGAGUUAGAGGGAGGUGUUUUUAUGCGAAGAGGAAUAUGUAAGAAUGUAAACAUCUUUAGUGAAGUAGUUUUAAUAGCUUUAAUGAUGCAAGCCCUAAGAUUAUAUGAAUUGCAUUGGUCUUUUGGUCUUUAUGUUUCAGGUUUGUUACUUUUGAUUUGCAUUAAGUUGGUGGAGGACUUCAUAUUAUUUGCUUUAUGUUUGUCCUGUGAUGAAUGUGCGCUGGUUUUCUUGAUUUCAGAGUCCAACAAUUAUAGCUUUUAAUGGUGGAAGAAUGAAACCUCAAACUUGCAAGGAAAUACCAAUAUUGGUACAUUUACUGUCAUGUGCUUCAUAGAGAGUUUUUUUUUAUGUACUACUUAUAUUCUGCGAUGUCAUCUCGCCAAGCUGCAUACAGAUUUUUAUUGCCUAAAUUGUGUAAGCACACUUAGAGGUCAAUCUCUUUCCUAAUUAGGUAUGAUAUAUUGUUUUAGUGCCUGAAUUGUGUAAGCACACUUAGAGGUCAAUCUCGCUAUGUUUACUAAUGCCAGAUAGUUUCUAUUGCGGAAAAUGAUAGUAGGAGAAGACACUUGGACGCUGUACAGCGCCAAGUGACAACAGUCUGCAGAAAUGAAGAAAUCUCUGUGACAAACGUUUGGUACCUUCAUGGAUGCCGGCACUCUGUUCCCGAUGGUCUCAUGAGGCUAACGGAUGUCAUGGUUGAUGGUAAGAUUGUUGUUCCUGCUGGAUGUAGAAAUGGUUGAAAGGGUUGUGCGUCUACAGUUCUGCUCUCACGCAAGCUAGUGCCAAGAUCCUAAUGACUGAAAUUGUUGUUGAAAUUCUCAGGACUUGUAUCACUUAAGAAACCUUAAUACUUAGAAGUUUUUUUUUUUAAUGAUUUUGGACUAUAUUUAUGAGUACAGUUCAAUGUAAUCGAGUUGUCAUUUGGUAUUAGACGAAUCAGGUUCUAUAUGGAAUUUGAAUUUGAGAAUUUGAAUUUCACUUGAAUUUGAGAACUUGAGUAAUUUCAUUUG